rnacentral:rRNA from 1 species
UACGUAGGGGGCUAGCGUUGUCCGGAUUUAUUGGGCGUAAAGGGCUCGUAGGCGGUCUGUCGCGUCGGGAGUGAAAACUCAGGGCUUAACCCUGAGCCUGCUUCCGAUACGGGCAGACUAGAGGUAUGCAGGGGAGAACGGAAUUCCUGGUGUAGCGGUGAAAUGCGCAGAUAUCAGGAGGAACACCGGUGGCGAAGGCGGAUCUCUGGGCCUGUCCUGACGCUGAGGCGCGAAAGCUAGGGGAGCGAACAGG